rnacentral:rRNA from 1 species
AAAUUGAAGAGUUUGAUCAUGGCUCAGAUUGAACGCUGGCGGCAGGCCUAACACAUGCAAGUCGAACGGUAACAGGAAGCAGCUUGCUGCUUCGCUGACGAGUGGCGGACGGGUGAGUAAUGUCUGGGAAACUGCCUGAUGGAGGGGGAUAACUACUGGAAACGGUAGCUAAUACCGCAUAACGUCGCAAGACCAAAGAGGGGGACCUUCGGGCCUCUUGCCAUCGGAUGUGCCCAGAUGGGAUUAGCUAGUAGGUGGGGUAACGGCUCACCUAGGCGACGAUCCCUAGCUGGUCUGAGAGGAUGACCAGCCACACUGGAACUGAGACACGGUCCAGACUCCUACGGGAGGCAGCAGUGGGGAAUAUUGCACAAUGGGCGCAAGCCUGAUGCAGCCAUGCCGCGUGUAUGAAGAAGGCCUUCGGGUUGUAAAGUA